rnacentral:rRNA from 1 species
CACGUAGGGCGCAAGCGUUGUCCGGAAUUACUGGGCGUAAAGGGUGCGUAGGUGGUCGUUUAAGUCCGUUGUGAAAUCCCUGGGCUCAACCUGGGAAUGGCAGUGGAUACUGGACGGCUAGAAUGCGGUAGAGGGUAGUGGAAUUCCCGGUGUAGCAGUGAAAUGCGUAGAUAUCGGGAGGAACACCUGUGGCGAAAGCGGCUCACUGGACCACAACUGACGCUGAGGCGCGAAAGCUAGGGGAGCAAACAGG